UAGGGAAUCUUCCACAAUGGACGCAAGUCUGAUGGAGCAACGCCGCGUGGGUGAAGAAGGGUUUCGGCUCGUAAAGCUCUGUUGUUAAAGAAGAACGUGGGUAAGAGUAACUGUUUACCCAGUGACGGUAUUUAACCAGAAAGCCACGGCUAACUACGCGCCAA
rnacentral:rRNA from 1 species